rnacentral:rRNA from 1 species
CCCUUAGAUGUUCUGGGCCGCACGCGCGAUACACUGACGAAGUCAGCGAGCAUGUCCUACGCCGACAGGUGCGGGGAAUCUUGUCAAACUUCGUCGUGAUGGGGAUUGAUUAUUGAAAUUCUUGAUCAUCAACGAGGAAUUCCUAGUAAGCGCAAGUCAGCAGCUUGCGUUGAUUACGUCCCUGCCCUUUGUACACACCGCCCGUCGCUACUACCGAUUGAAUGGUUUAGUGAGAUCUUCGGAUUGGCGCCACUGCGGCUCAGCAAUGGGCUCGGUGGAUGCCGAAAAGUUGAUCAAACUUGAUCAUUUAGAGGAAGUAAAAGUCGUAACA